GGUGGGGCAGGAGGUGGUCUGUGUCAGGCUGUUUGAAACUCAAGCUGAGAAAUAGUUUGUUGCAUCAUGUGAUGGUACUGGCGGGAAAGAGUAGGACACCUCCUUCAUCCUAGGAAGACUAAAGCAAGCUCUGUCCUCCAGGAGCUCUCAGAGAAGCCAAACCAACCUCCAUUGGUUGAGAAGCCAAAUCAACCUCCAUUACACAAAAGAAGAAGAAUACCCAUGGCCAUCAUUCUGCUCCAGCCUCUAUUUUCUCUCACCUAGCCUAUGGUACUCUCCCAAAGGGCCUCCCCAUUAUUCCUUUUGCUCACUUUCAAUCCAUUUUCCACACUUGGAGCCAAUCAUCUUUUAAAACCACAAAUCGGAACAGGUUAAUCCAUUGCUUAAAACCACUCACUGGCUUCCCACUGCACUUAGAACGCUCUGAAUCCACACCACUUCCCAUGGCUUCAUGCCCAGCCUCCCUAGCUUCACAUCUGGUCACAAUGGCCUUCUGGCUGGGCCUCGUCAGGCCAAGCUCUUAUGGACAUCAGGACUGUGUGCUGCCUAUUGUCACUUUCCUCCCAGCUCACCAUGUGGCUGGCUUCUUCUUGGCCAUUAGGUCCAGUGUGACUCCCUUCCCUACGUCAGGUGCCCCCGCUAUUAAAACCCGUCACAAGGCAUGAAUACCAAUUUGUAGUCUCUUAACCUGUUUGUUCACCUGAUUCAUAUCUACCUCCUCCACUGGGACAUAGACCACAAUGGCAAGGAUCUUGGCUGUCUUGUAGCUCAUUAAAUCCCCAGCACCCAGUAUGGUGCCCAGUGUGUGGUAGAUACUCGGAAAAUAUCCGUGGAUAAAUAGCUAUAACUACAUGUUAAAGGUCAUGCGAUUAACUCUGUAUCACAGAGCAGGAGAUGAGUGGAGGGUGAAGGACCAGAAGAGGAGAGAGAAAGGCCUGUUGGAAGGGGGCAGCCCUCGUUGCCACUAGCUUACCUGCAAGGAGGGCCCCUCAUGAUCUUGCUGUGGGUCGUGCAGCCCCCUGGGGGUGAAGGAGUAGCUUCGGCUGUGAAAAUGAUACUUUGGGUAAGGUAACCUUGUUCUCUGGGCACACUCCAGUAGGCACACUUCAGGGCUGGGAUCUUCACAUUCCCCAGAAGGCCGAUGUGGAUGCAAACUCAUUUCACCUCCCCUAAUUCUUGCUUCUAGGCCACAGGAUGAUUUGGAAGCCCUUGCUUGUUCCUUCGGCUUCCCCAACCCAGCUCUUAGCAGAAUAGUAAAACAGACGCGUUAUUGGCAACUCCGUCGUGCUAAGGAGAGGCCGUCUCCAGCAUGACAUCAGCCAAAUCUAUUUCACCAGAGAGCCUUGCACUGCCUGAUUUCCAACAUGUAGAAGAUGCACACGGGGGGCAGGGGAAGAAGGCAUAAAUGAGACACAGACUGGGGACUUUUUGAUGUGUUUAGCACAUUUUUGUGACUUCCUUUAACACCGCAGACCUUGGUUCUCCCACCAUUAGGCGAACAAAAGACAAACCGGGAGGGGGCAGGGAAGGUGACCCGUUCAGGAACAAGUUCUGCUCAACCUAUUUAGCAUUUUUAAUUGAACCGCUGAAAAGGGGAGGCAAAAAUGGGAAGACGAGAGUGAACACCACAGCCGAGUAACUUCAGAUAUAAAAAGUCCCUUCAUUAAAUCUGUUGUUUUUUAAUUCAUAAUUGCACUUAAAUAAAGAGGGACCUAUGGGCAGCUGUUUCUAAUAUCGAGUCCCCACCGCACAUGAAAGACGCAUUUAUUCCUGCAGCAGGCCUCCCUACCCUUGGGUGUUAUCAGCUGAACAUGUUUUGAACCUACCUAAUGCAUUUGAGGUAGCUUGGGUUUAUUUUUCUUUCAAUAAAAUAAAUGGUUUUGUAAUUAAA